AACGAACGCUGGCGGCAUGCCUAACACAUGCAAGUCGAACGGGACCUUCGGGUCUAGUGGCGCACGGGUGCGUAACGCGUGGGAACCUGCCUUUAGGUUCGGAAUAACUCAGAGAAAUUUGAGCUAAUACCGGAUGAUGUCUUCGGACCAAAGAUUUAUCGCCUUUAGAUGGGCCCGCGUUGGAUUAGCUAGUUGGUGGGGUAAAGGCCUACCAAGGCGACGAUCCAUAGCUGGUCUGAGAGGAUGAUCAGCCACACUGGGACUGAGACACGGCCCAGACUCCUACGGGAGGCAGCAGUGGGGAAUAUUGGACAAUGGGCGAGAGCCUGAUCCAGCAAUGCCGCGUGAGUGAUGAAGGCCUUAGGGUUGUAAAGCUCUUUUACCCGAGAUGAUAAUGACAGUAGCGGGAGAAUAAGCUCCGGCUAACUCCGUG
rnacentral:rRNA from 1 species